UUUAAUGGCACUUUUAAGCAAAUGCUCAUCACGUUCACAGAGACCUGUCGGAAUUGGGAAAAAUUCCUUCCCCAUUUGCUCUUUGCCUAUAGGGAAGUUCCCCAGGAGUCCACCGGAUUCUCCCCGUUCGAACUAUUAUACGGGAGACGGGUCCGGGGACCCCUAGAUCUAGUACGGGAACAUUGGGAAGGUGAUAUGGAACAAGCA